GGCAUAUGGAAGUUCAGAGGAAUUUCGCAACAACACUAACGAAUAUCUCUAUAAUCAAUUAUCAUUGGUCUCUGUAUCAUUCAGAAAUAUGAGGGCUAGAUAUACUAAGUUUGCUCCAAAAAUGGUGCCAAUUGACUUGUUUAGCAACAUUGGUGGAUUCUUGGGAAUUUGGAUUGGUUCAUCUGUCAUAUCGAUAUCUGAUUUAUUGUAUAGACUAUCUGAUUAUCUACUCAACCG